UACGUAGGGAGCAAGCGUUGUCCGGAAUCAUUGGGCGUAAAGCGCGCGUAGGCGGCCCCGUAAGUCCGCUGUGAAAGUCAAAGGCUCAACCUUUGAAAGCCGGUGGAAACUGUGGGGCUAGAGUCCGGAAGAGGCGAGUGGAAUUCCUGGUGUAGCGGUGAAAUGCGCAGAUAUCAGGAGGAACACCGGUGGCGAAGGCGGGUCUCUGGGCAGUAACUGACGCUGAGGAGCGAAAGCGUGGGGAGCGAACAGG
rnacentral:rRNA from 1 species